rnacentral:rRNA from 1 species
UACGGGGGGAGCAAGCGUUGUUCGGAUUUUACUGGGCGUAAAGGGCGCGUAGGCGGCCAGUGCAAGUCAGUUGUGAAAUCUCCGAGCUUAACUCGGAAAGGUCAACUGAUACUGCUCGGCUAGAGUGCGGAAGGGGCAACUGGAAUUCUUGGUGUAGCGGUGAAAUGCGUAGAUAUCAAGAGGAACACCUGCGGCGAAGGCGGGUUGCUGGGCCGACACUGACGCUGAUGCGCGAAAGCUAGGGGAGCGAACGGG